GACCUUGAGAUAUGAUCUGUAUUUCUGAUUUGAAUUUCACCUAUGUGAGCUGAUGUUGCUUUCAUGCCUGUGAAGGCAGUUUGGAGGCGAAGAUGUAUUGAAUCUACUCUCUUUUUCUUUCUUUUUUCUUUUUGCAAACGUUAUCCUGUCUAGCUCAAGUUCCAUUUCUUAAAAAGGUUAUCCUGGAUAGUAGUGCCAGCCUUUUAUGGCAUACACUUGGGUUAGAGGUAUUGAAGUUACUUUCAUGUUUGUAUAAGCAUGGUUAGUCAAGUACUGCAAAACCUGACAAGCUUAUGACUGAGAACUGGCAUUGGUUCUGCACUGUGGCUUGCUUAAUGGAGUUACAGGUCAUGGAAUGCUCGAGUAGGCCACUUGAAAGUUGCAACUGAAGAUAUCCCAACUGUCUUUCAGAAACAAGGCUUGAACUGAACUGAGAGGUCACGGUGACACAAUACAUCAGAUUUCAUUUCAGAAGCAAGAGCACUGAGCAGCAUUAACGGAGCUUAAGGCCUUGUUCACAGGCCAAAAACAAGGAGAUGAAAAAUACUGACAUCAUCAAAGAAUAGUACUACAUCAGGUGCUGGUCCCAGUUUGUCGACCUCAGGUUCCAUAUCCCCUUGUUGUGCAACGAACACCAAGAUGACCUCAGGUUGGUUAAGUAAUGCAAAGCCUGAAGAAAAUCUUGAACAAGCCUAAAUCAGCCUACUGGGCCUUCAUUCUGAAGCUUAUCCGGAGAUAAUCGAGAACCUCUGGGUUCAGGGUCAAAAGCAAUGGGAGUUCCUUAUUGUCAACACUUCCUUUGAACAGCCAGCUGUGAACACUAUUUUGCAGACUUCAAUCCUACAGGCAAAUCAGGAGGAUGAGCUAUAUUGGAUUCAUAGGCCAGCAUAGAAAGCCCAGCCGUAAUGAUCUUAUUUUCAACAACAAAAAGAUUGGACCGUGAAUGCAGGGUUUUCGUGCUGCUAGUGCUCUAGGUGCUGUCUGCUCCAACAAGCCCUCUGGAGGAGAUUCUACACCUAGGUUGGUUUGUUAUCGAGGCAUCGAUACAUUUAAUCUUCGGAGG